rnacentral:lncRNA from 1 species
AUGACCGAAAAAACCCCAAGGGCGUUGAGUCAGCGUGCCGGGACACCGCGUGCAUGGCUGGAAGUGCCGGGGCUGGCCUGUCCCCAACGGGUUUUGGGAAGGGGCCGCGGCGCUGCGCUCCCCGUGCUGGCUGACCCCGCUCCGGGUGUGCCAAGGCCGGGUGGGGACAGUGGGGACGGUGACUGGGAGGGGUCCCCAGCUGCGGAGGGGCUCCGAGGUCUGGCACCAGCUCCUCCGGCCUUUCAGACCCACAAAGAUGGGCAAAAUACCCCAUUUUCACAACCUUGCUGCUUCUGCCCCAAACCCCACGCUCCUGCCCUGCACCCCAAGCUUUCAUUUCCCCCACGCACCAACCCCUUCCUAAACCACCUCAACCCAAAACUUAUCCCCCCUGCUGGCCCCCCGCCUGCCCCCAGCUGCUCGUGGGACCCCCCCUGGGCACAUCCCAGUGUUGGAUCCCUCCUGUCCCAGUGCCACCAGCAGCAGCCACCAGUGCCACCAGCGUGGCCCUGGCCGGGAGCUGCCUGCAGCGCUGCCGUUCCCGGCACGGACAGCAGAGGCCAGGCCACGGCCGCUGCAGGAGCUGCAGCAGGGGAUGCUCGGCCUCUGCCACUGCUCAGCACCCUCGUGGCACCCACGUCCACCCCACCCGUGUCCCCUGGGUGCCCGGCGUGGUGGCACCGCUGUCCGCUGCGCAAUGGGUGGGCACCGUCACCUGCCCGUGCCCGGGGGCUGCUCCUGCUCUGCCCCCUUUGGGACCUCAGGGAUGCUCCUGGCCCCCUCCAGCCCUGGGCAGCUUGGGACCCCCUGCUCCUGCACCCAGGGGUGCUGGGACCCCCCCCUGGGUCCUGCCCCAGCUGCAUCCCCCCCAGCCCAUGGGCCUGGGGAAAUCCUCCUGGUGCCCCCUCCCUGCGCUCUUUCCUCCCUCCCUCGCUCCUCGGCCAGCCUGCGGUGGGGAAGCACUCAGAAAUAAAACAAUCCCUAACGAAAUUAAGGGUUGGCAAUCAAAGACGGGCUGCCCGGAGUUCCCCUGCUGCAUUUCCCCCCCCCCCUCUUUUAUUGCUCUCCUUAAGGAAAAAAAACCCUGGCAUAGCUCUGGGGUGGUGCAGCCGGGAGGACAGGGCAGGGGCUGGGGGCUGCCCGCUCCCCUCGCCACCUCUCCCAGCCCUGGGGAUUCUCCUCCCCCUGUGA